AGCGGGGUCGCCCAGUUGGUAGGGUAAGGGACUUUGAAUCCCUCGGUCGCUGGUUCAAGUCCAGCCCCCGCCG
rnacentral:tRNA from 1 species